rnacentral:rRNA from 1 species
AUUGAACGCUGGCGGCAGGCCUAACACAUGCAAGUCGAGCGGAGUGGCGGACGGGUUAGUAAUGUAUUGGAAACUGCCUGACGGAGGGGGAUAACGACUGGAACCGGGCGCUAAUACCGCAUACUCUCAGAUGAGCCUAGGUCGGAUUAGCUAGUUGGUGGGGUAACGGCCUACCAAGGCGACGAUCCGUAACUGGUCGGCGAGGAUGAUCAGUCACACUGGAACUGAGACACGGUCCAGACUCCUACGGGAGGCAGCAGUGGGGAAUAUUGGACAAUGGGCGAAAGCCUGAUCCAGCCAUGCCGCGUGUGUGAAGAAGGUCUUCGGAUUGUAAAGCACUUUAAGUUGGGAGGCGUUACCAACAGAAUAAGCACCGGCUAACUUCGUGCCAGCAGCCGCGGUAAUUC